rnacentral:lncRNA from 1 species
UUUUGCCUUUCAAACACACGCAAAGUACGGGAAAACCCUACCUUUAUUAACUCACACUUAACAAAGGACUUUGGCUAGUGGAACUCAACAAACUCCGAACUUGGAAGCUUUGUUCGAGUGUUACUUGCCUGACUACUUAUUUAUAGAGCAGUAUACUCUUGCGGUUGACAUCCCCAACCGACUUUAGGAUAAUAGUAAAUAACUACCCACUACAAGCAAGUAACUACCCACUACAUUGUUUAUCCAAAAUGGGAAGUUACACAAAGUAACUUCCCAUGAUCCCCACUAAUAGAUCAUGGCUGCAACACUUAGUAACCGCUAUUGCCCACUACUUGGUAACCACCUUUUGGAUAGGCCUUGGUAACUUCUGCAUAACCGCCUGCAUUGCACACUUGGCUGCCUUGUCACCGCGCCCGCGUGUGCACAUGCAUACACACAAUUCUGCCCUUGACGAGCUUGCAUCCCACUGAACCCUGGGGUGCAUAUGAGGCUUGACCUUUAGGUGUAUGAAGGUGCUUAACCCUGCCGGACCCUCUGCCGAACCCUCUGCCGGACCCUGUUGAACCCUGAGGUGCAUGCAUAAUGCGUGCAUCCCGUUGAGCCCUACUAUGCAUCCUGCCGAGCCUUGGGGUGCCUAUCUGCCACACACCCUGCUGGACCAAAAGGUGCUGGUAAGGUACGCACCUUGCCGAGCCCUGGAGUGCCAAUCUGCCACACACUCUGCUGGACCCGUAGGUGCUAAUGAGGUGUGCACCCUGUCGAGCCUUGGGGUGCCUAUUUGCCACACACCCUGCUAGACCCGUAGGCGUGCACCCUGCUAGGACCCUUGGUACUUGCCUCCGAACCCUUGUCGCCUCCAUCUUGCUUCUUGGCAACCUUUGCUGCCCAUUCAUCCGAGUAAGUGUGGUGCAUGACUAACCAACACUUAGUGGAUUUCCCUUGUCAAUUUCAAGGGUGUGACAAACCACCCCCCACUUGAUCUUGAUAACGCCCUCGUUGUCAAUGGGGUUCGAUCGGUGGAUUCAGUGUCACUCUCUUCGCCUUCUCGUUGGCCCGCGUUGUGUGCAUGUUCUUCCCAUAGCAUGUUUACUUGUGCCUGUUCAUAGACACAAGCUUCUUCAUUAAUUUGGGCUUGCUGCUCCUUGAACCUCAACUCAUCGCACACAUUAUCACAAAGUCGUCAAACCUUGCUUGCCUAUGCAUGGCAGCAAGAUCAAACUAACUUGGUGUACCUUCAAUGCCUUGCUUGGGUGCAUAUCUCCCCAAGUCUUCCAUCUCUAUAUCUUCUUGCUUGCCCUUUCCCUUGGCUAGUUCUUUCUUCAUUGCCUCCAUUGUGCUUGAGAAAUUCUUCCAAUCAUCUUUCAUUACUCCUCCUUGAUCUUCUUCCAUGGGCAGAUUUCCCAUAUCAUGCUCUUCUUUGAGCGGUAUCACCAUCCCUUCUUGUGGCUGUGGUUGGACUUCGGCAGAUCAUCUCACCCUUCAUAUCCUCAUGAUACGGAGCAAACUUGAUCCAUGAAAAGUCAUAGACUUCAAGUGUUUCGUUGAAUCUUGUGUACAACAAACUUCCUCUCUUGGGUUGGCCAUUGUGCUCUCUUCUCUUCGAUAAAUUGCUGAUCUCAACUUGAACUUGCUUGGCAGUAGCAUGUGCGCCCAAAGACUAACACAUCUAUGCACCACCAUGAUUUCAAUCUCCUUCAAGCAUAGCUCUUUCACCUGAAUAUCAGUAUCUUGCCUCCUCAACUUGUGUGUUACAACACCAUUUUUGUGGAGUGCUGCAAUCAUCGUUCCAUGCCCGUCCGGAUGGAUGUGGAUGUCCACGAACAUCUCCAAUUGGCUUGAAGCUUCCUUGGACCCCUUCAUCCGCUUUUCUUCUCUUGGUUUGGCCACAACAACAUUCAACAAUGACAUCUUGGUUUUCUGAAUAUUUUCUUCAACUUUCUUCUCCUUGACUGCGUUGAGAUCCCUCUCGGCUUCGUAGGACUCUUUAAAACAAUGCUUGUAUUUGUAGUCCCACGCAAGAUGGUCUCUUGUACAGAUAAAACACCCAUCCCAACGUUUUCCUUUCUUUAUGGCAGUUAGUUGGGUUGGUGGGGAUUUGUACUUCGAGUUGAAUUGGUCUUCUCUUAUCCUUAACUGCUUGUAACCGCCUUGUGCACUUAGUGGCACGUUUUUCUCCUUUUUCUCAGCUUUUCCCCCAAUCUCUCUACGAGUAGGAUUCCUCCAUUCCUUGUCCGAAUUGCCUUCAUGCUUGUCCAAAUUCGUCUCCUCCUUGUCAUAAUUAAGCCACGGUGAUGUUUCUUCAUUUUGCACUUUGAACUUAGGAGCGUCUGCUUUGCCUCCACUGCUGCUAGGAUGCAAUAGCAUGUCAAUGUUAGCGUCAAGUGCUUCAACUUUUGCCUUCGUCUCAUGCGAUAGGACUUCAAUUUCUUGGACGGACGUCUCCACCUUUUCUUUGAGCUUUUCUUCAUAAAUGUCACUCAUCUUUUGCAUCAACUCCAUUUCUUUCUUCAAGUACUUGAUGUGAGCAAAUAGACUAACCAUAUCAUUGGCCAGGUUAGUGUUGAGGAGCCAUUCAAUUCUUUUGACUCGGUCCUCCAUAGAAUCUCCCAUGCUCAUCGGAUAAUGCAAGCCUUUUAAGGUCUCUUGCAACUAGUGCUUGAAAUUGCACUCGACACUUCAAUCCGCGCCUUUAUCUGCAACUCACUCUCUUCUUGGGUCCGCAAUGCAACUUCUUGACUCACUUGCGCCCUUUGUGUCCUUGAAAGUGGACUGGAUUGGAAUGGUUCUUUGACCUCCUUCUUUUGUGUUUUCUCAAGUACUUACUUCAGUCAGUCACUAGUACUUAGGUGCUUACUUCAAUCAGUCACUAGCACUUGGGUGCGUCAAAUGGCACCUUAUCGUCCUUCCAAUGGGACUUUGAUUGGAAUGGUUCUUCGACCUCCUUCUUCAAACUUUUCUCAAGUACUUACUUCAGUCAGCCACUAGUACUUGGGUGCUUACUUCAAUCAGUCACUAGCACUUGGGUGCGUCAACGGCAUCUUGUUGUCCUUCCAACGGGACUUCGAUUCACGCCUUUGAUUCGGUAGACGUGGGUCUUACUAAGCGAGAACCACACUUUACUCAAUCUUUAUACCUCAAAGGUUGCGACCCCUUGAGUCAACGGGAAUCUCCAAGAAUGGGCACUUCUCUGACCUCCACCUCAAAACCACACCCGAAUCAAGUAGGUGGGUAUCGCCUAUCUACGAUCUUCGCUCUUCUAGCGGAAUUCUUCAGACUUGCCUUCUUCGACGAUCCUUGCCCUGGGAAUAGACUGGUUUUUGCACCAAAGUUUCCUUCAAAUUUGACACCAAAAAGCUCUUUCGAGCUCUGAUACCAGACUGUCACGGCCCUUUAAUACGCAAUGGAAUUUUUCUCUCUUUUUCUGUUUGACACUCUUUUCUUUUGAUAGGAACCAUGAUGGCGUCUUGCUACCCUGAUAGAUAACAAGACCAGCCGAACUCAACACACCCUCAGAGUAAGGUGCUUCGACACUCAAAGUGUAUACCCUUCUCUCACUUUGGUGGAAACUCAAGCUCUUCUUUUGCCUUUCAAACACACGCAAAGUACGGGAAAACCCAACCUUUAUUAACUCACACUUAACAAAGGACUUUGGCUAGUGCAACUCAACAAACUCCGAACUUGGAAGCUUUGUUCAAGCGUUACUUGCCUGACUAUUUAUUUAUAGAGCAGUAUACUCUUGCGGUUGACAUCCCCAACCGACUUUAGGAUAAUAGUAAAUAACUACCCACUACAAGCAAGUAACUACCCACUACAUUGUUUAUCCAAAAUGGGAAGUUACACAAAGUAACAUCCCAUGAUCCCCACUAAUAGAUCAUGGCUGCAACACUUAGUAACCGCCAUUGCCCACUACUUGGUAACCACCUUUUGGAUAGGCCUUGGUAACUUCCGCAUAACCGCCUGCAUUACACACUUGGCUGCCUUGUCACCACGCCCGCGUGUGCACAUGCAUACACACAAUUCUGCCCUUGACGAGCUUGCAUCCCACUGAACCCUGGGGUGCAUAUGAGGCUUGACCCUUAGGUGUAUGAAGGUGCUUAACCCUGCCGGACCCUCUGCUGAACCCUCUGCUGGACCCUGCUGAACCCUGAGGUGCAUGCAUAAUGCGUGCAUCUUGCUGAGCCCUGCUGUGCAUCCUACCGAGGCUUGGGGUGCCUAUCUGCCACACACCCUGCUAGACCCGAAGGUGCUGGUAAGGUACGCACCUUGCCGAGCCCUGGAGUGCCAAUCUGCCACACACUCUGCUGGACCCGUAGGUGCUAAUGAGGUGUGCACCCUGUCUAGCCUUGGGGUGCCUAUUUGCCACACACCCUGCUAGACCCGUAGGCGUGCACCCUGCUGGGACCCUUGGUGCUUGCCUCUGAACCCUUGUCGCCUCCAUCUUGCUUCUUGGCAACCUUUGCUGCCCAUUCAUCCGAGUAAGUGUGGUGCAAGACUAACCAACACUUAGUGGAUUUCCCUUGUCAAUUUCAAGGGUGUGACAGUAGCCCAGUAGCAAAAAAACCCCAGAUCACACAUCUACCACCACGUCUGCUACACCACUGUCGGCACUACGUAUCUCUCUGUUGUGGCCGCCAGCUAGUCACAUCAUGUGACGACUAAAAGUUUUAAAAUAAAAAAUUUUAACACCUAAACUAGUAAAUUAAUUUUCUUUUUACUCUACAUUGUAGUUUUUAGUGUUAUUGUGUGCAUAUAUUUGUAUAUAGCACUAUAUGAGCUGAAUUUAAGUUAGUUGUUUUUAGCCCAUAAGCAAAACCUUGACCCAAUACCCAGUUAACCCAAACCCAAAGUUUUUAGGAAAAGCUUUCGUCGUAGAAUGUAAGUCAGGUACGUCGACCUCUAAACUCAAAACUUUGUCAUCUCUUCUUUACCGUCCUCUUCUUCACCUUAUGCUUUCUAAUCUGAAACCUUGUUUAGUCCUAAUCUGAAACCUAAAGCGUGAGGUGUCAAAAUCCUUAUAAAACAAGUUGAUUGUGUCCUAAACAAUUAUUUUGAUGUAAUUAUUAUCGUAGUUAUUAUCAAUCAAAAAGGGAAAUGUUAUUGUUUAUUGCUUAUAUUUAAUAUUUGAUUGAACAAGUUCCAAAGAAACUGAGUUAAAAAGAAAGUAAUCUAAAGAGUUGAGACCUUUACGCUUUUACACUCUUAUCCUAAAAUCUUCCUUUGGUUUGUGUAUUGGGAUCUAAAUGGUAUCGGUUCAUCAAUAUGGAACAACUUGAUACUCUGUUUCAGGCAUUUUCUCGACGACACCGUGCAGCUGGAGGCACAGCAAGGGCAAUGAUAGCAAGGCCACCUAUGUUUUAGUUUAUUUUAUGCUUAUUUUAAAGAUUAAUUUUAAGAGAAAAUUAAGUUUCCUUUUAGUUUCUUGUCUGAAUGGUCGAGCCUGUCCAUCAAACUGGUUAAGAGUUCCCCUCUUUUUAGCCCAUUGGGUUACCUUUGGGGCAGCUUAAUAUCCCUUGAUCAAAAAAAAAAAAAAGAUCAAUUGGGUUAUCUUUGGGGAAGCUUGUACAAUAAGGAAUCUCUAUCCUUAAGUAAAUAAGGUGUAUAUAUGUUCAUAGAUGCAAUUCAAAGACUCUUUGGCCAAAGCUUUGAAUGAGAUUAAAAGAAGUUUAUAAUCACAUUCUACGAAUC